GCCAUAUGAAUCUUUCGUUUGAUCCCUCCCUGGUGCCCUGUCUGUCACUUGGCACUCCCUCCCUUCCCUCUAGAAACUUCUAGCUGGAGCGUCGAGUGAUUGGAUCAGGAACCAGGACCCCUCCCUCAAUGUAUUCCCAUUGGUUUGUCCCUAAUGUCAAUCCCCUGCAUCCCACUCCCCUCUGGUUUCCCAUUCGUCCAGAGGUAGUUUCCUCCCCUGUUUCCCCUGCCCCCUUAAAAGCUGCUGCAUUUCUGGGGUCGGGACUCCAACCGGGAAAAUUUAUUAGAGCCAUUAAAGCCUGAUUAUACCCUCGGCUGGAGUCAGCUCUCUUUCUUUCUGUUGGCUGUUGCUGCGAGCCCCGUCCGAUGCAGGUAGCUGCCUUCACAAUAGCGUGGGGCUGUAUCCCUAGGUGCUGUCUCAGGUGAGACCCGAGAGUGCUUCUGCUGCAAGCAGUGUGCUGGUUGCUUGCCGGGCGAAAGGGGGAGGACAAGCCUCCCCCGGACAGCUUGCUGCUUCAGUUUGGCGCCCAACGUGGGGGCCCGAGGGCAUCCCCGGACCCCACGGACGAGACUUGUGGAUCUUUUAGACUUUGCCUCUGGAUUUCUACUUGGAGCCUUGGCUGGCAAACUACCUUUAGGUUGAGCAGACCCCUUUCUGGUGGGUGGCUCUCCCUGAGGAUCGGGAACGGCAGCUCCUAGCACCCAAAGGAGUCGUUCCUCCAAUAGAACCACUGAACCCAAGUUUUUUUUUGGUCCUCGCCAGAUUUGGGUGCAGCUGACCGAGCCCUUUUACAUCAGAGACACCAACUUCCAUCUUGUGAGCGUGUGUCCAGAGUUGCCAGUGACCCUGACCCAAUGGCUCCAUCCCUCACUGCCUUCACCAUCCUUGUGGCAGUGUUUUGGUCCCUCUUACCACCUUCAGACCCGUGAAUUGUUCCCCAACCCAAAGCGAAUGUCUGGUUGACCCUGGCACAAUUCCUCGGCCAAGAUCACAUCUGUCUAAACACGGCGUCAGCAGAGGACCCUAUGUAGUCCUGCUUUGUGGGAAUCCGGAUCCCUCUCUCUCCAAAUGAAAUCCCUUCUCCCCUCAACGUCACCCUUGCUCCCCUGCUUCCCCAAAAGGUUGCCCGCUCCCCUGGCUUGAACCCAAAAGAUAGAGAAACGGAAUCCGCAGGCUGGUCCCGCUGGAUUCUGAACCCAUAGAAUUCGAAUUGCUCGGCUCCACCAGUGCUUCCCUUUGCUUUCAAUUUAUAUCUUCCCCAAGUCUCCCCAACAAAUCCUAUACGUUUGUACGCCAGUGGAAAAAGCAAUACACUGGUAUCCGCUGGUGUGAAGUAGUGGCACAAAUGGAAAUGGUCUCCAAGAUUUACUACCAACCUUUAACUUUGCUCCAUGGAGUGUUUUUUAAUUGCGGAGACCGAGCAUGGGCAGGCAUCCCCUCUUGCCUGAUAGGAGGCCCUUGCACAUUUGGACAAUUGACGCUGUUUACCCCCAACAAAACCCAAAUUCACAAUUGGAAGAUGAAGAAUGUCACACUCGAUUUGGUCCGUACCAAAAGGGACCUUCAAAAUCUUGAUCCAGAGUGUGACUCUGAAAUUAUUCAUUGGUCAAAGCCAAAAGGGGUUGCGAUCAACGUGUUUUUGCCUUGGGUGUCAGCAGCCAAAGCUCUAGGUGAAUUGGCCCACUUCGAGUGUUGGGUGGCUAAACAAGCCAAUCUUACAUCAACUGCAUUAGCAGACCUCCUAUCUGACGAAGAAAUUACAAGGAAGGCGACGCUCCAAAAUCGAGCCACUCUCGAUUUCCUGCUCCUGCUACACAACCAUCAAUGUGAGGAAUUUGAGGGCCUCUGAUGUCUCAAUUUAUCAUCUAAGGCCGAGGACACAAGAAGUGCUAUCCAGAAAAUGUGAGACAUGGUCUGCGACAUCAAGAAAGAAACAUCUGACUGGCUAGGGGACAUUUUUUCGGGAUGGGAUCUUUCAGGAUGGGCCAGGUCAGUUUUGAAGACUGUAUUUUAUGUUAUCUUAGUUAUUAUUAUUGUUUUAGUUGCUUCUUCAAUUCUCUGGAGAUUGAUCAAAAGACUGAUGAACAAAAUGAUGCUCCCUCCAAGUGUCAACCAAGUGGUGAGCCUUGAAAUAGAAGAACCAUCGGCUGAAGAAGUCCAGCGGGCUUCUGCCCCAAUGAGCCAUUCCUUGUUUGGGGACAUUUAUCAAGACUCAGAGUUUAACAACCAAGUUCAGUUUACCUCCUUUUGAUUUUUUAUUUUUAAAACAAAAAAGGAGGAGAUGUUGUGUUGUGUUAGGUUGUUCUGUUCCCCUCUCAGUUUGUAUGUUGGAUUGUUCUGUUUCCCCCCCUUAGUUGCAAUGGUUCAAGCCUAGUUCAUUCUGCCCUCCUCCCCACUGCCUGUCAUCCCUGCUCCACUUCCACCCCCCCCCCCCAGCCAUAUGAAUCUUUCCUUUGAUCCCUCCCUGGUGCCCUGGCUGUCACUUGGCACUCCCUCCCUUCCCUCUAGAAACUUCUAGCUGGAGUGUCGAGUGAUUGGAUCAGGAACCAGGACCCCUCCCUCGAUGUAUUCCCGUUGGUCUGUCCCUAAUGUCAAUCCCUGCAUCCCACUCCCCGCUGGUUUCCCAUUCGUCCAGAGGUAGUUUCCUCCCCUAUUUCCUCUGCCCCCUUAAAAGCUGCUGCAUUUCUGGGGUCGGGACUCCAACCGGGAAAAUUUAUUAGAGCCAUAAAAGCCUGAUUAUACCCUC